rnacentral:rRNA from 1 species
UACGGAGGGUGCAAGCGUUAUCCGGAUUCACUGGGUUUAAAGGGUGUGUAGGCGGAUAUUUAAGUCAGUGGUGAAAUCUCCGGGCUCAACCCGGAAACUGCCAUUGAUACUAUUUAUCUUGAAUUCUGUUGAGGUGGGCGGAAUACAUCAUGUAGCGGUGAAAUGCUUAGAUAUGAUGUAGAACACCGAUUGCGAAGGCAGCUCACUAAACAGAUAUUGACGCUGAGGCACGAAAGCGUGGGGAUCAAACAGG